GAUGAACGCUGGCGGCGUGCCUAAUACAUGCAAGUCGAGCGAACGGACGAGAAGCUUGCUUCUCUGAUGUUAGCGGCGGACGGGUGAGUAACACGUGGAUAACCUACCUAUAAGACUGGGAUAACUUCGGGAAACCGGAGCUAAUACCGGAUAAUAUUUUGUACCGCAUGGUUCAAAAGUUAAAGACGGUCUUGCUGUCACUUAUAGAUGGAUCCGCGCUGCAUUAGCUAGUUGGUAAGGUAACGGCUUACCAAGGCAACGAUGCAUAGCCGACCUGAUAGGGUGAUCGACCACACUGGAACUGAGAGCUGGUCCAGACUCCUACGGGAGGCAGCAGUAGGUAAUCUUCCACAAUGAGCGAAAGCCUGACGGAGCAACGCCGCGUGAGUGAUGAAGGUCUUCGGAUCGUAAGACUCUGUUAUUAGGGAAGAACAUAUGUGUAAGUAACUGUGCACAUCUUGACGGUACCUAAUCAGAAAGCCACGGCUAACUACGUG
rnacentral:rRNA from 1 species